rnacentral:rRNA from 1 species
GACAGAGGAUGCAAGCGUUAUCCGGAAUGAUUGGGCGUAAAGCGUCUGUAGGUGGCUUUUCAAGUCCGCCGUCAAAUCCCAGGGCUCAACCCUGGACAGGCGGUGGAAACUACCAAGCUGGAGUACGGUAGGGGCAGAGGGAAUUUCCGGUGGAGCGGUGAAAUGCGUAGAGAUGUGGAGGAACACCGAUGGCGAAGGCAGCCUCCUGGGCCAACACUGACGCUGAGAAGCGAAAGCAUGGGGAGCGAACAGG